UGCGUAGGCGGGUCUUUAAGUCAGGGGUGAAAUCCUGGAGCUCAACUCCAGAACUGCCUUUGAUACUGAGGAUCUUGAGUCCGGGAGAGGUGAGUGGAACUGCGAGUGUAGAGGUGAAAUUCGUAGAUAUUCGCAAGAAUACCAGUGGCGAAGGCGGCUCACUGGCCCGGUACUGACGCUGAGGCACGAAAGCGUGGGAGCAAACA
rnacentral:rRNA from 1 species